rnacentral:lncRNA from 1 species
UUUUACCCGUCUUGUGGCUCAUGUAUUUCCUAACUCGGUGCCAAGCCUUAUUCGGUUGGUGACAUUCAUGGCAGAAUUGACGGCAAUUUAGUUACGUCGAUGGAACUUAUCAGUCGUCAUCAGUGGCGAAACAGAUACCUCAUAAUUGUCAACCAACUCGUAGUGGCGUCCAUGAAAUUUUGAAAGGGAUGAUUUCAACUUUGCAUUUGAACUCUGGUUUAAAACAUGUUUAAACCACCAUUUUUCUUCAAAUGUCCUGUACCAAGUCAGGCAUAUGGCAGUUGGUAUCGAAUAAUCUGUUUCUUUGUAUGUUGGCGUUUGUUUUGGUAGCAGUUCUGUGUUUCUGUUAUAUCGUUGUGAUCCUCUUAUAGUUGAUGCGUUUUCCUAGUUUUUGCUUUGUGACCCGGAUUUAUUUCAGUUACUAGUAAAUCGAUUGAUGACCAUUGAAUAGCGGUAUACUAUAGUUGCCUUUAUUUCAGAGGAGUUGAGGCUCAAUGAAAUCGGUCUCCUCCUUUAGUAGUAUAGAUAUGCAGGCGUUGCUAUAAUGUUGUUACAUAGAAAUGAAAAGUUUAUAAUUUGGUAGUAAGGGGUGUUUUUAUGGGUUGUUUUAUGCUCAUCUCUUUUGUCGUAAAACUUGUUCUCAACCAACCCUCAUCAUCGAUUUCAAGAUACGUGACAGAGUAAAACUAUAUUUGUUGAGUCUUUUAUUUUCAAUUUUCAAUGGAAAAUACGAGUCCAACAUUGUCACAAAUGUUACACUAUUCAGUGAGAUGACAUCAUCUAUAUAAUGGAAAGUGAAGUUUCAAGAUAAUGAUAGCUUCUUGUCAGUCGUCAUCAGAAACUUUUGCAUGAAGUCAUUCUCGUAUGAAAAAUAAACUAGUCAUUCAAGCUAUUCAGGAAGUCUAGUUGUAACUAGAAUCGUUGCGUAUUAAUGGAUAUUUUUUCUUCAAAAUUAUUCUUAUUUGAUGAAUUAAUGCAUGUAAACAAUAAACAACAGAAUUUAAGCAAUCAAGUAGUCCAGUUUUAUAAUGUGUUUACUUGUUUUUGAAAUUCUUUGAAAUUUUCAAUUUUCAUCAAUUUAUUUUCUAUUUAUUUUGGUCUAGAUUUUCAAUUCACAUUAAAUAAAUAAAAGGUCUUUUCACUACAUCAAUAUUUAUAAUGAAGCUACAAA